UGUGGGCUCAAGAAAAUGAACACAGUUUUAGUGAUCAUCUCUAUCAUCUAAGAAAAGGGAUAUUUAAGAACUCUGAAGUCUGAUCCAGUAUACCAACACUGGCUCUUAGAUGUCAUUCUACCAUCUGCUUCAGAGACAUCUGUGUACACCUUGACCACAACAGUAUAAUCAAAAAGUCACAGGAGAAGUUCAUAUAUGCCCCAAAACUGCACAACACUGUGCAGUGCUACAGCAGUUUAGUACAAAAUCAGAGAAAAAGAGUUGAAAAGCCCUAGCAAUGAAUGAUCAGAUUAUGAGAAUGGCAGUAUGCAAAACAGACAUUGCUAGUUUGGCCACUGCUGCUUAAUUUACAUUUCCUCACAGUUUUAUCAGUGAAAUUUUUGAACAGAUAAACUUAUUUCACUUUGUUUUAAAAUUUUAAAGCUGUCUAAUCUUAUAACUCAGUCAAUUUCUCACCUGGCCCCAUUAAUUACCACUAAAGAAUCUAGAAGAAAAUAUAAGGGGAAAAGACAAAGGAGAUACUUUCUGUACCAAGGGCACUGACAAUAGAGCAGUUAAUUGCUAAUACUAUAUUUGAUAUUAGAAAUUUUAUUUCAGUCUCCUGCGUUAUCUACAACGCUUAGAUCACAGGCUCAGUGCUCAGGAGAAGUGCUUCAAGUUGGUUUUCUGAAGGGUCUCUGUGUAAUCUGCUUUUCUUAUGUACGUACCUGUGUGUGUCAAAAUUGCCCAAGCACAUAGGAGAAGCAUGUUUUAAAAUUCAGCCCCAAACUUUUAAUGCCUUAGGUCCCCUUAUCUAUCAGCUUUAAAUUGCCUUGUGUCAUUUGUGUCACAGGAUGUUCUUGAGGAUAUAACUGAUUAAAUGCCAUACAGUCUAGCAGUGAUGGAGCAACUGAAUCCUUCGAAUUCAAGGUCAUUAAAUGAAUUCUUAGACUGUCAGGCUUUUGAAAAGAACUGAAAAUGAGAAAAAGGAUUCAGAUCUCCCAGAUGUUUAGGGACAGUCACCUAUAAACAUCCAAGUCAUGAGGUUACUCUCCUUUGCAUUGCUUUCCUUUGCUGUGAUACAAAACUAGAGUUCUACCCAAUAGUCCUAAUCAAAAUACAGCAUAAAUGCAGAUGAAGAGGAAAGCUCAGGUAAGUUUUGU